UAUAAAUUUCACCUCUCCUGUGCUGACCAUUACUGGGUAUGUUAUUAUAAACAUUCUUUUGUCUACGCUGUCCAUUAUAAUAACUAGGAUCACCUUGUCUCCGGCGAUUCAAUGCUGCCACCUGGCCCUUGUUACCUCGGGAUCCAACUAAACCCAGUGAAUUUAAUUCAUCUAAUUGAGCAGAAGCAUCUCCAAUGCUAAGAUCUGGCACAAGGAAAAGGGAAAGAACAAAACCCUUCAAAUGUGCUGGUGCCCCUCUCACCAAUUUGCGUCUUAUAGAGCUGGUGAAAGGCAUAUCUUCUGGACCUUCCCAUUGUGGACAAUUAUGCUUUACACAAUAUAUCCACUCUAGCAUUGCAAUUUCCCUAAGUCUUAAAAUCCCUUCAUCAACACUAAGCCACGGAAUAUCAGGCAUCUCCAAGUCAUUUCCAGUAGGCCAUCUUUUGAUAAACACCUCAGCCAACCAUUCAAACAAACUUUUGACACCUUUUUUAACUAUGCGAGCUUCCGUAUUAAACCUAGAAUCUCUACUCAGAGGACCCAUGUCAAUAAACUCAGCCUGCUCUAGUUUUAUGUUCCUUCCACCCUUAUCCCACACCCUUAAAAUCCAUUCCCACACAUAUUCACCAGGUUUCUGCUUGAAUGAAUUAGCAAACUCGUUAAGCUCCUUAGUAGUGUAGCGAAUUUCCUCAUGGACUAUACUUUCUACCUCCCCUCUAGGAGCCUGUUUUGCUUUGAGUCUGGUUACAGGUCUAGAAGAAACUAUUGGUGGGCCGUGAGCAGACUCUGCAAAAUUAAUUUCCUCAUGUGGGGAAGGCAUUAUUUCAAGAGGUGGGGCUGAGGGUACUACUUCCUCAGGUGGGGCAAACCCUUGAGAAUCUGAGGAUUCAAAAUUCUCAGCUUCAACAUGGUCUUCCCACACAUCCCCGUCCCAUGUUGUAGGAUCCCAUUCUUUGCCAAUUAGAGCCCUUACUUUAACUGUCGACACACUCUGAGGCUGAGACUUGAAUUUUCUCUGUAGUUCAGCCAACCUUACAAUGAGAGUUUCUGUUUGAUUUUCUGCAACUUGAGCUCUAUUGCUACAAGAGAGAAGAUUCUCCUCAAGGACACACUUAGCAACUUUUAGAUCGUUUACUUGUGUCUGGAGCCUUUCGAUUUUAUCACACAACUCCUUCCUUUCAUUCAUCAUUUUUUCCACAGAUACUAAGAGCAGCCAGCCAGUAAAAUCAUUUUUCGAUUUUUUCCCCAUCUUGUAGAAAGCUUUGUGCACUGAAUCACCUAAUUCAUUAAGAAAAUCAAGGGCAUUAGCUUCUUUAAGUUCGGAAUAUAGUUUCAACCAUGGGUCUUCAAAAUUCUCUGAGCUCCCAGGAGGGAGAGAAUCUGGAGAGGUUUCAAUAUUUGAAAGUGCUGGUGGAUCAACAAGCCAAUUCCAGUAUUUUAAAAGAUUCAUCCUUGUACUUCUGUUACUCUAGAACCACUCCUGGUACCAACUUCUGUAUUAGUCAGGGUUCUCUAGAGUCACAGAACUUAUGGAUAAUCUCUAAAUAGUAAAGGAAUUUAUUGAUGACUUACAGUCGGCAGCCGAAUUCCCAACAAUUGUUCAGUCGCAGCUGUGAAUGGAAGUCCAAGGAUCUAGCAGUUACUCAGUCUCACGCAGCAAGCAGGCAAAGGAGCAAGAGCAAGAGCAAGAGCUAGACUCCCUUCUUCCAAUGUCCUUAUAUUGUCUCCAGCAAAAGGUGUAGCCCAGAUUAAAGGUGUGUUCCACCACACCUUUAAUCCCAGAUGAAAGGCAUAGCCCAGAUUAAAGGUGUGCUCCUUAACUCGGAGAUUCAAUCUUCUGGAAUCCAUAGCCACUAUGGCUCAAGAUCUUCAAACCAAGAUCCAGAUAAGGAUCUCCAAGCCUCCAGAUAAGGGUCACUGGUGAGCCUUCCAAUUCCGGAUUGUAGUUCAUUCCAAAUAUUGUCAAGUUGACAACCAGGAAUAGCCACUACAGGAAGUUUUCUUCUAUAAUUUUGUUGAAAAUAUUUACUGGCCCUUUAAGUUGGGAAACUUUGCUCUCUUCUAUACCUAUUAUCCUUAGGCUUCAUCUUCUCAUUGUGCCCUGGACUUCCUGGAUGUUUUAAGUAGGAGCUCUUACAUUUUGCAUUUUCGUUGAGUCAAUGUUUUCUAUGGUAUCUUCUGCACCUGAGAUUCUCUCUUCUAUCUCUUGUAUUCUGUUGGUGAUGUUUGCAUCUAUGACUCCUGAUCUCUUUCCUAGGUUUUCUAACUCCAGUGUUGUCUCUCUUUGUGGUUUCUUGUUUCUAUUUCCAUUUUUUAGAUCUCAGUUCAUUUUGUUCAUUUCCUUCACUUGUGUUUUCCUGUAAUUCUUUAAGGGAUUUUUGUUUCCUCUUUAAGGGCUUCUAGCUGUUUACCUGUGUUCUCCUGUAUUUAAGGGAGUUAUCUAUGUCCUUCUUAAAGUCCUCUAUCAUCAUGAGAAGUGAUUUUAGAUCUGAAUCUUGCUUUUCCGGUGUGUUGGGGUAUCCAGGACUUGCUAUGGUGGGAGAAUUGGGAUCUGAUGAUGCCAAGUAACCUUGGUUUCUGUUGCUUAUGUUCUUAUGCUUGACUCCUGCCAUCUGAUUAUCUCUAAUGCUACCUGCUCUUGAUAGAUCUGACUGGAGCCUGUUCUUGUGAUCCUGGUUGUGUCAGAACUCCCCAGAGUUCAGGUGUCUCUGUGAUCCUGAGAUCCUGGGUGUGCUAGAGCUCCUGGAAGUCAAGCUGCCUCUGGGACCCUGAGAUCCUGGUGUGACCAAGCUCUUGGGAUCCUGGGUGUGUUAGAGUGCCUGGGAGUGGGGUUUCUUCUGAGUGUUGUGGGACUGGCUGCAGACGUUUGUGCCCAACGUCUGCUCAGAGCACAGGCCUAGACCAGAAAGAACCUGUGUCAGCCAAAGUUCCUGGGUGCCUGGGUGCUGCUGGUCCCAGUUACUUCCGGUGUUGGAGCAGAUGUUGUUGUGUCCUCCUCACCUCUGAGCCUGGGAGUGGAGCUUCCUCUGGUUGUUGUGGGACUGGCUGCAGAGUUUGUGCCCAAGGUCUGCUCAGGAAGCAAGCCUAAAAAAUUUCUAACUUCAAGCUAUACAAAAUAGUUCAUGUGAUUAAUCUGGUUAACAGGCAAUAAUCUUUAAGCCCAGUUAUUAUGUCAGGCUAAUGUAUUUGAUGGAAAAUUAUGUUCGCUAUAUUUGCAGGGACAAGACAAACUACCUACAGCAAGUCAUAAUUGAGAAUCUCAUAGCUGAAUUCUCAGACAUUUAUUUAAAUCAAAGGCUAGCAGUGGUGGGAAACCAACCAAAGACAAGGCUGUAUUCUCUUAAGAUUUCAGAAUUCUCAGUGUUUGUGGGAUACUCAGGCUUCAUGGGAUUGCCUAGCACACAGGCUUCCCAGACAAUACCAAAUCAAAUCUAUAGCAAGUUAUUAAUUUUUACAGAAUCCUUGAUAACUGGCCUGAUAAACCUUUUCUACAACAUAUCGCAAACUGUGGAGAAGGUGGUAGAAAAAAUUCCAGUUCAUUAUUUUUAAAGCUUUUUAUUUUUUUGUGAAUUUCACAUCAUGUACCCCAAUCAUCCAUCUCCCCAUAUCUGCCCUUGAAACCUAUUCCCCC
rnacentral:lncRNA from 1 species